AAGGAUCAUUAAGCGCAGGCCGGAGGCUGGCCCCCCACGAUAGGGCCAAACGUCCGUCAGGGGUGGGCAGAUGUGCGCCGGCCGUACCGCCCCAUUCUUGUCUACAUUACUCGGUUGCCUCGGCGGGCCGCGCUCUCCCAGGAGAGCCGUUCGGCGAGCCUCUCUUUAGUGGCUAAACGCUGGACCGCGCCCGCCGGAGGACAGACGCAAAAAAAUUCUUUCAGAAGAGCUGUCAGUCUGAGCGUUAGCAAGCAAAAAUCAGUUAAAACUUUCAACAACGGAUCUCUUGGUUCCGGCAUCGAUGAAGAACGCAGCGAAAUGCGAUAAGUAAUGUGAAUUGCAGAAUUCCGUGAAUCAUCGAAUCUUUGAACGCACAUUGCGCCCCCUGGCAUUCCGGGGGGCAUGCCUGUUCGAGCGUCAUUUCAGCCCCUCAAGCCCGGCUUGUGUGAUGGACGACCGUCCGGCGCCCCCGUCUUUGGGGGUGCGGGACGCGCCCGAAAAGCAGUGGCCAGGCCCCGAUCCGGCUUCCUAGCGAAUGGGCAACAAACCAGCGCCUCCAAAACCGGCCGCCCUGGCCUCAAAUGCUGUUUUAACUUUCGAGU
rnacentral:misc_RNA from 1 species